rnacentral:lncRNA from 1 species
AGAAAAAGGUUUAGUGGAUUUGCUUACCUAGGGCCAGGUGAUAAGCGACAAAAAAUAUUGUGACUUUUUCAUUCUGUGAGCCAUGCUGAGGAUAUGGGAGACCUCAGACUGGAGAGGGACCUCCGGUCAAAGUGGCGGAGUGACAGUUCUACUUCCGAGUUGAAUGCUGGCCCCCCCAGGGGAAGAUUUAAUGUCCAUCAUCCUAGUUUACUGGAAGCAAACUGGUUUGGGUUUGGUCUCCCCUUUUCUACUCAAGCUCUCUUUGGGACUAAAAUGACUGUCUGAGUAGAAGCAUCAGACCAGUAAUUGAGCAGUGGACUUGAUGCUUGUUUUCAGUGUCAACCAAAUAAACAGCAUCUGGCAGCAAAUGGCAGUGUUUUUGAAAUUAAGCUUCCCAUGUUACCUGUUCAGAUUUUUUUCUCCCCUCUAAAAAUCUGUUUCCCUCAGUUCCCCCAUUCUCUCUGUGUGUUAUUGCCUGCCGGAGUCAAUUAUAGUCAUUUAUACCAGGUAGGCUUUGAAUCAAGUGAAUAUUUGGCAAAAACACACAGUGUGACAGCUGGGCCCUCUGUUUAUGAAGGCGUGGCAUUGGAGCCACCUGCAGGCACUGAGCUUAGUGCAUGGAAACUCCAGCUUCUUACGUCGUGUGCGCUCCUAAUUGGUAUGUAGCAAAACGUAAUUUUCUAAAACUGGUUGCUUGUUUUGUAAUAAAAAACAUGUGAAAUAGGAAA